GACGAACGCUGGCGGCGUGCUUAACACAUGCAAGUCGAACGGUGAAGCGCCUUCCUUUUUGGUGGGUGUGGAUGAGUGGCGAACGGGUGAGUAACACGUGAGUAACCUGCCCCCUUCUUCUGGAUAACCGCAUGAAAGUGUGGCUAAUACGGGAUAUUCUGGGUCUGUCGCAUGAUGGGUCUGGGAAAGAUAUUGUUUCGGUGGGGGAUGGGCUCGCGGCCUAUCAGCUUGUUGGUGGGGUGAUGGACUACCAAGGCGGUGACGGGUAGCCGGCCUGAGAGGGUGGACGGUCCCACUGGGACUGAGGCACGGCCCAGACUGCUACGGGAGGCAGCAGUGGGGAAUAUUGCACAAUGGGCGAAAGCCUGAUGCAGCGACGCCGCGGGAGGGAUGGAGGCCUUCGGGUUGUGAACCUCUUUCGCCAGUGAAGCAGGCCUGCCUCGUUUGUGGGUGGGUUGACGGUAGCUGGAUAAGAAGCGCCGGCUAACUACGUG
rnacentral:rRNA from 1 species